GUGCUCAUGUCAUCAGCAUAUAUACUAAAAUUAGAAUGAUAGAAGAUUAGCAUGGCACCUGCAUAAAGAUGACAUGCAAAUUUGUGAAGUGUAUUCCGUUGUG
ensembl:snRNA U6 U6 spliceosomal RNA